rfam:Geobacillus sp. B4113_201601 NODE_525, whole genome shotgun sequence.
ACGAUGUUCCGCUGCAAUGACGAUUUUUCAUUGGCAUGAACAUCUG